CUCCCGGCGGGGGUCUGCGCUGGAGUCCGCAGCGGCGGCGGCUGCGGAGCCGGCGGGAGCGGGGGGAAAGAGGGGAGGAAGGAAGGCAGGGAGGAAGGAGACGAGCGGCGGCGGGGCGAGGCGAGGCGAUGCUGCAGUAACGCCCUUGUCGGUAGGAGCCCUGUCGGACCCCCAUCCUGACCGCUGCGCGGAGCGUCGGUCCGCGCUGCGCCGCGGAGAGGGGAGGGCUCCGCGCCGGGCUGCGCGGCGGAGCGCGGGGCCGCCCCGAGCAUGCGGCAGCUCGGCCGCUCCUGGCUCCGCGUCUCGGCGCUGCGGUGCACGCCGCCCGCCCAACAAGUUGGAGCGCUGCGGCCGCCGGGAGAGCCGAGCCCCGGGAGGGACCGAGCGGCUCCGUCUCGCCUUCCCCUCGCCGGGAGCGGGACCGGGCGCGAGGGAAACCCCGGCUCCUUCGGGAUCCCCCCCGGAGCGGGAGCCGCAGCCCCUCAUACUGAGCGGCGGGUGGGCGCGCGGAGCCUCCACGCGCCGCGGUGGAGGAAAAUCCUCGCAGCGCGGCGCGAAGCGGCGACCUCCCAAGGACGCCCGUACCUCGCGUGUGCACGCCUGUGUCCGUCGCGGUACACCACGCGCGUGUGCACGUGCCCCUUCCCGCAGGCCGGGGCGCGGAGGCGGGGCGGGGGCCGCUCCCGCGGAGCCUCCCGUGGGCAGGGAAGCAGGGGGCGCGCUCGGCUCGGCUCGGCUCGGCUCGGGGUGCUGCCCGCCAGCGCUCUGCUCCUGCCCCGCCGGCCCGGGCCGUGGGCUGCCCACCUCGUGGCUGCGGUCCUGCGUGCCCAGGGCGUCGCUGCCCCAUUGCUGCCCUGCACGCGCCUCCGUAGCGCUUCUGUUCGCUUGGUUUGCUCCGCGUGGUUUGUAGCGUGUUAAAACCCUGCCGCUGCACGGUGUCUAUCUGAGAAGAUAAUGGGAACGUUCAUUCAAAAACUCCAACUUGUUUAAAAGCUUAUGUUACAGACCUGUGUCUUGGAGCCAACUCUGAGCCUGUUAAGUUUCAAGCCAGCUCGAAGUUUGAAAGCACGGCUCAGUAAUUCAGGGCAUCAGGAGGUCUGUGUGGUUGAGGCAGCCCAUUAGCUAUGGAAAAUGUCCGUGUGAUUAAAUGCAAACACACAACAGGUCUAUCAGAUUGCUCUUGCUUAAAUAAAACAACAUUUAUUUUCAGUUGUAUGGCCAUAUGUAUGUUCUAAGUACAAGUGAAAGCUUCAGUGUUAGGCAGGAAUACCUUACAAAUGGCAGGAUGUGGAAAGCUUUCGCGUUUAGGUAAUGGUCAGAGGCUCUGCAAUCAGUGCAGCUGUUAGCUUGGUUAGCAGUGAAUAAAGCUGUCCGAACCACUUCCCCUCUAACCUUCAAAGUAUGAAAUUUUUGGGGCAAUGCCUUGAGAUUGUAGGUUACCACAGAGCUAGGAAAAGGCUUUUUUCCUCUGGGAAGUACAUUUCACGUGAACUUCACGAUGGCUCCUUUAGCUGCUGACUGCUGAAGAGCUGAAUUUUUCUUCCAGCUUAUCUGUUGGUGGCAAAAUCACUGAGCCAAACUAAGAUAAGAGCACUCUGGUUGUCAUUUGGAGUCUCUGGGUUACUGUGACAAACUUGGUCAGUAUUUGAGUUCUGAACCUUUGUGUUAAACUUCAUAAAGAAUAUGGCAAUUUUUAAUGGGUUACCCAUACAUUUUAUCACCCAAAUAGUGGCACUUUCCCUGAAAUACUUCUACAUAAUUGUCCUGUGUGUUCGGAGUGUAACAUCUGUUGCAUGAUAUCAUGCAAUGGAAUGUGGUACGGCUUAAUUUAAGUUGAUUUGAAAUGUUACCAUUGGACUAUAGUAGUGCCUCAGAGGGUGAGAGGUUUUUUGGAGUGUGUGAUGGAUACAUAGUUGGUUAGGAGUAGAAGAUACCAGGAAAGAUGAAUUUGCAUUUGGACUGCAAAGAAUUAAGUACUUUAACUCUGAGUUUGGUUUGUUAUGCAUUUUACUUAGACUUCUUUCAUCGUAUGCCAGUGCAUUUAAUCACCAAAUUCUGCUUAGAUUAGAAAAGGCAUUUGUAGUUUAAAAUAUAACUGAAUAGUCUAAUACAGCACUGCAGUCUAUUUGAUUCUUUUUUUAUUUUUAUCUUUAUUCUUGGAGAGAGAGAGAUGUGGGCUUGAGAGAUAUAUCUGGCUGUGGCAUCCCUAGAUCUGCAUGGUCUUCCUGAUGGCUUAGAGUUUGCUGUGAAAAAGAAAAGCUUUCUCUCGUUUGAUAUGGCUUCUGCAAAAAGUUGACUCAGCAUGGCAAGGAUGAUCUGAAGCAUUAAUGUUUGUACUGUGUUAAUCUGUGUGCUUACCUAUCCAAUAUAUAUCUAUAAAAUCUGUGCAAAUGCAAGAUCUGGGCAGCUUCCAGAAAUGCUAGUUCUUAAUUAGUCAUCACAGCUCAACAGUAGUACAGGCAGCCACCUCCAUCCCUUGCUGUGGCAUUUCAGUGUCAGAUAGCUGCUGUGAUAGCAGUGUUGUAUGCUUGUGAUAAAGUGCGGGCAGCGCCAUUUGCUGAAGCAUAGCAUGGAAGCAUAGAAUAUCCUGAGUUGGAGAGGACGCACACUGAAGCAUCAUUCCAAUCCGUUAUGUUAGCAUUAAGCUACCAAAGCCACUGCUGGGAGCAGCUCUCAGCUCCUUGUCUCUCUAAGCCUUGGAGUUUUGAAGAAAUUGCCAGCUAUGUAGAUGUCCUGAUGUGUUUAAAUGAAGGACGUUUCUUGUGAAGAAUUUCUUAUCCAGAUGCUGCAUUUGCACUGGAAUAUAAUUAGCAAAGGGAGAGAUGUGUGAGAGCUCUGUAUUCAGCUUUCAAAAGUUCUUUUUUUUUUUUUUCUCCUCUGCUCAUGAAUCCUGUCAAGAUUUGGCAAGUCUGUUUAUACGUGUUUCUGCAGACAAUAGAGUGCUGAUGCAAAUUGAGAACAGCAAACAGAACAGUUGUGUGUUGUUGGAAGAGGAGGGAGGCGGUCCCAGUGUGCUGAGUUUUGCAUAUUAGAUUUUAUUUCUGGGUUACAGUAUGUCAGUUGGAACAAAUGUUACUGCUGUAUGGCUGGACGUGGUUUCUGAUAGCCCUGUCUGUUUGUACUUGAAGGGGAAUGCAGGGUUUUGCUUCUGGAAUUUUCUUUUUGACCACACACUGUGAUAAGAAUGUGAAGUAAAUUGAGGAACUUUAAGUGGCAGGGAAAUGUAAAUGAGAGAGAAGAGCUUUUCUUUUGGACUAACCCAGCUCCUGAGUACAGAGCUGUGCGAAGCAUAAUAGCCUCGGCCAUUGCAACUCUAUGCAUGAGGCUGUUAUGAGUAUGAACAUCGCGUUGCUUUUAAGCUUUUUUUUAUUGCUGUCAUUUAAUAAUGUAUAAUAACUCCUUUCUUAGGGAAAAAAGUAAGAACUGGGGAAAGGGGAAAAAAAAAAAGGGAAAAAUCUAGGUAUGCUGAAAGGAGCCCAAGCCACUGACAGCCAAAGACCUGCAAGGCCCGGGCCAGUCCACAUGGUGCUGCAGUCCUGGGUCUGAUCAAGGGUUAGAGAACUGUGUCCUUCCAUCUCUGAGUGUAAUAAGCAGAUGCCUUUUGAGUGAGGCUUGGGAAUGAGGUGGUGGCGAUGAGCCUGUGGUUACGUUUGGUGCCAAGCUUGUAACUGUGAACACUGAACGUUCUAGAUUGCUGUCCCUGUUAAUGCUGCUGAAAACCCAUGUCAUGGCUGUGUCAGAGCCAUUUCCCCGGGUGUGCUGUGUGCACACAUGCUUAUCUUGGAAUUGAGUUUGAAUUAGCUUGCAUACUUGAAGCAAUUGUGAUAACAUUUUGAUGUUUUCCACUUCCAGCUGCAAGCUGGGAUUCCAUCCCCAGAGAUCCACCCCCUCAAUUCUCAAAACUCCAAUGCUUCUUUUUUUGUUUGUUUUUAGCCAGAAAACACGCUGGCUGCCUUUACAGGGUGAGGGUGAUCAUACAAUAAUAUGGUAUCUUAAAAUAUCUGUACAGUACUAUGAUGUUGGCUUCUUAAUUGGAGUCCCUUUUCUUGGCAGCAACCAGUUGAAUUCCUGCCAGGGUGGGUCAGCCUGGCACUUGGAACUGCCUCGCUGGCAUUCUCAGUAGGUAGCUCAGCUUUCUGUGUUUGGGCAGCAGGAAGCAAUGUGAGUUGCAGGGAAUGGUAAAUGGACCAUGUGUCUUUCCAUUUGGCAGCUUUUGCAAGAUUGAGAUUUUACUUCUAUAGAAAAGUGACGCUUAACACAGGAAGAAGCCGGGAGGGUCACACUCUUCUAAAUCACAGCAAAUAACACUUAAGCUGAUAAAGAAUCAAUGGUAUUACAUGGACCAUUUAGUUUUUCAAGGUGAAUAACAAUUUACAUUUUUUAACAGCUGAGGGAGAGGCGUUUGUUACUGUAGAGUAUUCCUGCUGGGUGAUGUGGGAGCCUAUUACACAACAGGGUUGUCUUCAGUGUAGGAGGGCCUUCAGUGCUGCGCAGUGCUUCCCUCAGUGUAUGUAUGUAUGUCGACAGAUUUCUUACCUUUUCUGGGAGCUGUUAUGUGUAAGAUGGUGAAUUUCCCUUUGUUUCAGGUGGAGUCUACCUGUUGGCAGAGGUAGGGGAGCUGUGUUGUUUUUUCCUGGAGGGUUUGAAUGUAGAUGGAAUAUGUAAGCACGGAACAAUUUGGAAAACUUACUGGUGGUAAAAAAUCAGGUUCAAAUGUGUACCAGUACCUUAAGGGUACUGGUGGCAGGUACCUCUGACUGUCCAAUUAAAAUAAGCCAAAUUCUGCCUAAGGGGAAACAGCGAGAUGGUAAUUGCCAGAGGGAAAGAGGAGAAUGGAAGCUUCAAAGGCAGGUAAUGAAUUUCUGGCAGAUAGUCCCAGAUGAGAAAAAGACUGAUAGUAAUCUAAUGGGAAGAGCAGAAGCAGGAAUGUGAUCAUGGUAUGGAACUGAAAGAACUUAGACAAGGUAAAAACACUGAAGUAAUAGGAAAUGAUCUAAAUUCAUGAGCAGUGUUGUCAAUGAACGUGUAAAUAAAUGAGAUCAGGAAUCAGAACUUGGGUGCUGCAGUUCCCUGUAGCCUGCAAGUUCUGUAGUUCCUUGUAAUUUUCCUACUUUUGACUACCAAGUUAUCUUGUAUUAAUUAAGUUCACAGUAUAAAGACACAUCUGCCACUAGCAAGAGGUAUCUGAGCUAUCUGAGGAAGGGAUCAAGUAGUCACCAUUGCUGCAUAACAGGAAUGCAGGGGCAGGCAGAAGGAACCAGUGACAAGCCUCCUAAGUUAGGAUAUCUCUGAAGGCAGUGUUACAGGGGGGGAGAGAGAAAUGCCCCGCCUCAUUCUAAAAAGGCAGGGACUGUGGAAAAUGACAUCGUUUUGUUGCGAGGUUGAUAGUACACCUGGGAAAUGUUAUGUGCAUUUGCUGAGGAUGCAGAGACCCUAAAGGAGAACCCGAGGUCUUCUACGUACCCACCCUCUGGGAAAUCAUAGAUUUUACAAAGUAAUAAGUCAAGUUCCGUUGUUGUGUUUGCAGUUGGAGGUAAUGUCCAAGUCAGUCUGACUGGAGGUGAAUUACGUGUUCGGCUGCAGUGAGAUUCUAACCAGACCUAAAAGCAGCUGAAGGGGACCAGAAGAGUCCUAACUGAAGAGAAGACUGAAACCUGUGAAGAAAGUGGUUAACUAAAUUUUGCAUGUGAUAUUGGACAGGCCAGACUACAAAUAAAGUACUGCAAACCCAGGUAUUAGGAGGAGAGAAGGAGAACUGCAAAGUCAAAUAGGUCUUAUCUGAGGCCAUUGUAUGAUAUGGUCAUGUAUGGGAUCAGUUCAGAUGGAUUAACACAUGCUGUAUUGGUGAGUGCUGUUUUGUCUUUAGAGAGACAUGUUUACCAUUCGUGGUUGUCUGUUAUCUUGUCUUCCUUGGCUCUAUGAGGCAUUUACUUCUAUCACUGCUGACAGUAUGGUAAUGACAUGCCAUAGCCCAUCGGUGUGGAUCUAGUUGUUUCUGGGUUUCACUGUCUUGCAGUUAGGUAAGAUCUCUUGCUUGUUCUUAAUUUCUUCACUUUAGUCUGUGAUUUUGGGUGCUGCCUCCUUGCUCUGCAUGCACUACACCCGAGCAACGAAGCCCUGUUUUUAUUUUUGUCUUGUUCUGUGAACUAGAUCGGUGUAAGUGUUAUGUAACCAGUUUCCUCACCUGGGAACUGGAAAGCUACCGGUGAGGCCAUGAGUGGUGGUGGUAUUUGUAUUCAACUGCCGAUGAUCAAAGCGGGGCAGGGUGGGGGAUUUGGAGUCUGUUUGCUCAGGUGUUGGAUGGAUGUGUUCAGGAUUCAGUCUCUAUGCAUAACUGUAUGUUAGAUCUGCCUUAGAAUCUGUGCAUGAAAUGCAUAAUAGCGCUUCUUAGGGCCAGAGUGGAACUGAGUUGGGCAAGAUCACAGCUACAGAGGGCCCUAAACCACUGCUGCAUUUCCCUGGUUAGAAUUCCUCGGCUUUGCUGACCUCACAUUCCUGUAUUUAAAAGGUAGCGUUUGGUAAUGUGACCUCUGUGUGUUGUGACAACAUUCUAAGUUUAAUGAGCGCCCCUUUGUGAAGUGUGGCCUCGGGUCAUGCCAGGUAGACUUGUAGAAAUAAGCAUUCUUAAGUGAUUGUAGUCUCACUUUUUAGUGUUUUCUUUUGUUUGGGACUUCUUAGAAGCCCCAGCAAUUCUUAUUCAGUUUGUUUAGCAGCCACUACAGCGCCGUUUUCAUCCUGAAGCUACAGAGCUUCCCUUAAAGAUAAAUUUCAAGUACCUGCUAAACAUCUGCUAUCAGGCUCCAAUACUGUCUUGGUACCCACCCAAAAAGUGCAUCUCCGUGUACAGCUCGGCUUUCUAUAGCUGUCAUGUGGGUUGUCAGGAAUGAAAUACAACUUCAGCCCCUGAAGAGGAUGCAGAAACAAGGUGGGAUUGUAGAUAACAGACCUUUAGUAAAAAGGGAAGGCUAAACAGGUGGUUUCUUUUUCAGCUGUUUAUGAGGAACUUGUUAAAACCAAAGGAAAAAUGUAGAAUGAGCACAGAAAUUACAUGGAUAAAAGGAAAAAUGAGAAGGGCUUUUUACCUGUAGUUAUAGCUUUGUGAAGACUGAAGAUUUACAGUAGAGUGAUACAGACUAAUCUCUUCUUGACUGAACUCUGGAUUAAAAUUUCUUGCUCAAGGUGUACCUUAUUAUUUAAAAUAAGAUAGUGUCACUACUUGUGGUCUUUGUACUUGCAUGGCAAGGUACAGUAAGCACCCAUCCCUAUGUAGGAACAGACCUCGGGAAGCUCUGACUAUAUGGUACCAACAUUUAUUUCUAUGUGGUUUACAGUUAGGUGGUUGUUUUUUUUUCUUUUCCUUUUAGAGUUAAAUUCCUUUGUAGGAAGUGUCUCCGAUUUAGCUUAUCUUGCUUUUAUUUGUGACAUUUAUCUUCAGGUUUGUUCUAUGAGACCUAACUCCUUCUUGGGCAGGAAUGAAUAGCAGGAAGCAGCAAUGGGCGCUGCUUUGCAUGGCAGAUGAAUGGAGGCGCUGGGGGCAAGCUGUGGAAAUGAGGCUUUAUCUUCUGUGCCUCUGGCAAUGAGUGUGCUUGGGGGGAAUUUGCUGUUUGAAAUUGUAGAGAUUGAUAUUUAAGGGAUUUCCAAGUGGCUUAGAAUUGUAAAAGCUCUAGCUUUAGUAGGAGGGUCUGCUUGGAAAGUGACUUCACGUAGACGCACAUGCGUGCACACAGAGCAGCUGCUGAAGUUUGCGUUAAGAUACAGAACAUUGCAAAGUAACUUUAUAAAAAGUUGAUAACGGUUGGAUAGUAAGGCCGUGGUAUUGAUUGGAAUGCUCCAACGUGGUUAUUACAAGUCAGUGGCAAGAGGGCUAUUAUUUGUGCAUAAGUGCUGAAGUGUUCACAAGUGAAUUGUGUUCUGGCACUGUUUUUUUGCAGUAAACCCUUAUACAGAAUUAUCACAUCCUGCAUCAGUGAAUUACUGGGAUCAGUUGUUUCUGCAUUCUCAUUCUCUCUCUGAGAAAGGUAGGGAUGGUGGUCUAAGGCCAAGUUGUCCUGCCACGUGACACUUCAUUCUCUUCUUAUAGCCUGUAGCCAAUCUGUGGGCUCUGGGACUUUUCUGGGGAUCAGGGUUGGGGUAGCUAUAUGGACAGGACAAUAGGGGUCCUUCAGCACAUUUAAAGUUGAGACUCUAGAGGAAACAGUUUUUUUUUUCCUUGCAUUGGAUAUGUAGUGUUGGCUGAGGGAAAAAUCAUCAUCACUUCUUAGCAGCAUAGGUAUGUGUUUCCUUCAUCACAAGUGAAGGCAGAGACCUUGGUGGUUGAGGGAUAAGUAAUUAUGUGUGCCAUAGCAAAUUGAGUUCCUAAGCCCAAAUAUCAGGUUUGGAUCUGAAAUACUGGCUCUGAAGGCAGAUAUUGACCUGUACCUUGAGUUUGAAGCUUUCUUAAACUUGUAUCUCCCUAACCCUUUUUAUAUUCAUUGAACAUAAUGACUGAAUUGCUGUGUUCUGAUGACACGAGAGAAGCUUAGAGAGCAGAUUUUGCCCAUCAGUGUUAAUUUAAAAAUUCUUCUUAAUAUGCCUCUUCUCAGGAAACCUAAUAUUUUCACAUCAUUGUAUAAAAAAGCCAGCAGUUUCCAGAUGCUCCCCAUCAGGAUGUACUGAUGGUAGGUGUUACUUUAAGCUUAUUCAACAAAUACGAAGCCUAAUCUUACUGGACUAGGGAUCCUGUUUCCUUUACAGAUGGCACUCAGAAUCCAGUGCUGUUGAGAGCAUCACUGAGUAGCAAGUAAUAAAAUCAUAAUUCAAAUGUAGCAACAUAUUUUUAUGAAAUAACUGUUUAGCAAGCUAAACAGACAGUAUAGGUGAACGUGACUAUUGUAUUAAACACUGGUGUUAACAUAUAAGUAUGUGAAGCGUUUCCUAUUAUAGGCUUGGGUUUGAAAUGUGUUGGCAUAAUAAUCUGAAAACCAUUUGUGCAAAGAUUUAUUUUACUGAAAUGUUUUACGAUGACAAAUUUGGUUAUUUUUGAUAAGAAAAGUGCAGCUUUUGACCUUCAUGAGGGAAUUACCAUUGCUAACAGAGAAUAUUAAAAAUCAAACCUGAUGAUACUGAGCUAAGUUACACACCUAAUGGCAUUUUACCUUCACAGCCAGCAGUUCAGGAAAGGUUAGCAGUGUAUUCGGGCCGCUUUACCUGGGGAUAUGUCUUUUAUAUGUAUAUAUUAAUAGGGAUAAAACUGAUCUCAUCUUGCAGUGACAUGUAACUACAAGUUUCUUCCAGCUUCCUGAGCAUUAAUGUUGCUUUGACUCAAUAACCUACAAUGAGGUUUUUAGCUUCUGGCUUGCUCUCCACUUGCGCCUUGUUUAGGAUUUUCUAUGUUGCUAAUUCAGUUUAAACUCAGUUAAGAACUGUUAAGUGUGUGCUUCUGAGUUUCUUGCUUCUGUUUAGUGGCAAAAAGGAGGAAAGUACAAGAUUUUGCUGAUUUUGACUUCUACCCGGAGUACAAGGAGCCCAUUUUUGGUACACUGUGAUUAUCUGAUAUAUACUUAAGAUAAAAGUUGAUUGAUUGUCAGUUAUUCUUUGUUGCUACUUAUCCCAAUAUUCAAAAAUAUAUCUCAUGCUGAAGUACAGCUUGUGAAAACAAAAAUGCACAAUGAGCACAACUGAAGUUAGAAUCCUGCUUUGGAAAGAGCUAAUCCUACUGCAGUAAAACUUCUGGUGAUUGCAUCUCUAUCGCUAGGUGACAGUUUCAGGACUUCAGAUGAAUGCUGUUGGGGAAACCCACAAAAAUUCAGUGUCCAGUUAGCAAGCUUGGAGCACCCGAGCUCCAUGAAAAGCAGUCUUUCCCUUGUGAGUUGACUGCUCGCAGCCUGGGUACCUGCUCUUUUUUGGUUCUCCCUUAGCUGUGCUUUCUAGAGAGCAUGUGUUUCAAUUGCGUGGUGCUGAUACUGAAAACAGUCCUUGUGGUUUUGGUUGAAUAUGGUUUGCAAUAAAUAACUCCUACCAGAUGCUGGUGAGAAAUGCUUAUUACUAAGCAGCACAGAUUGAAUAAUUGUCACUAAUGCAAUUUUCUUCUCAGUUCAUUAUGUUCUGUGUAAGGGUAGGGAUUUUAUUCAUGGAUUGACAGGUAUUGGACCAUGUGGAAAAGUUGCUAUAAAUUCUUACCAUGUUUAGGGGUGAGUCUUGUUUGCUGUCUGGUGAAGAGUCCCACCUUGGCAGAAAUAAAGCUGUAUUUAAUCUCACGCUCCUUUUCUAGGUUGGGCUGGAGACUCCCUUUGAAAGAAUGUUUCCAACUGCUGAAGGCUGCUUUCCAAAGGACACUUGAAGUCUAACAGCAGUUUCAAAUAAGCCCAACCAAUGAAGAUGUAUUCUUUCUUAGUGCUGAUAAGGAAACUAGUGUUAGUUUUACUUUUUUACUCCUUAUUUCCAUGCUAGAUACUUUAGAGUUCAUUGAAUUUGACAUUAAAAUAAAUAACGCACAGAACCCUAAGUAAUGACUUGAUCACCAAUGUCUUGUAGAUAGUCAGUGCCAUUUGUCUUACAAAGUUUAUGAAUAGCUUAUGAAGUUUACCACUUUUUGCCUUUUGUUACUUUCUCCCUGUCCAGCAGAAGCUGCUUUGAGAACUGAGUGUUAAAUUGGAAAUGACCUUACUUGCCUUCAGUUAUAAAUAGAAGUGAGAAACAAGGGGAUUGCCCUGAAACUCCCCCCACUCCAUUCAUGGCUUUCAUGUUCCAACUCAGUCUUACAGUGUGCUGUGCCUUCCUGCCCUCAACAAGCUGUGCUCCAAAACCAGCAUACAUUGAGCUGUGAGCUGGUUAAGUUACUAGCAUUCCCCUUACGCGCCAUCUUCUGAUUGUGCUGCUUGUAUCUCUGGAUUUUGCAGUGAUUAAGUGUUAGUUUGUUGGAAGCAGUUGAUUACGUAAAACACUUCUGAUUGUUGUUUUUGAAAGCAGUGCCAUUGGAACUUGAGUCCUAAGUCAGUGAUUUCUGAUGAACAGAAUGAAAAGCACAUGUCCUGUGUUGCAGUGUAAAAUGUUUUGUACCAGAUUAGGGGGGUAAUGCAGCAAAAUUAGUGGUAUGCCAGUAUUUUGUGCGUGGUGUGAUUUGGUUGUUGAAAGGAAAAUGUGACUAAGCUUGGUUUCUGGCUGAACUGAAGAGAUAAUGAAACUAAUCUGACUUAGGUAUUUGUUCUAUCUCAUUUCCCAAAUCAAGGUGGUAAAACUGAGAGAGAAAUUAGAAUUAGCCUGAAAAAGGUGAGCUGCGAGUAGACUCUUGUCAAUCCUUCUCUGUCCUUUUACUCUUUUCAGAGAAGAUGAAAUCAGAUUGGUCUGAUUCAGCCUCUCCAUGACUGGCACAACUAGGUCAUUGUGAGCACCGAUUGUUUUUGCACAGCAUCUCCUUCACUUGGGCCCCACCUCUCCACACCAAUCUUUUUGGUCAUUACAUUGUAAUUCUCUUUUAGACAUUUGAGAUAUUGUAAUUUAACAGCUUUGGAAUUUUGUUACGUAUGCCUUUUAAGUCAAAAUGCUAGAGCUAAAUCUGCUGCAACAACUAAUGAUAGCUCAGUCCUUUGGAUGUGUCCACUGUUUCAUCACUGGUUUCAGUGCUCAUUCCUUGUCUGUACACACAGAACUAUUCCUAGGUGAUCAUGGUGUUGGUGGUAGUAGCCAGAAUAAUUUUCUCCCCAAAGGUACAUUGGCAGUAACUUCCCAUUCUGCUACUUCUAGGGGACAGCUCUUGAUCAAAUUACUUCUUUAUUUCAGUUUCAGGUGUUGAAACCUGCCUUCUGUCAGAGAGGUGAAUCCAUCUGUUUAGUAGGCUUAAAACUUAAUUCUUUCUAUGCUAUCGUGUUAAAUAGUGUAUUGAACUCAUUUUCCUGAUAUUUUUAGAGUACCACUGGUGGAAUGCCAUUUUUCAUCAUGGUUACACUGUAUAUUUUUUUCAGAACUGUGUAACCAGACUAGUUUUUGUGUUUUUCUUUUUGUCCUAAAGAGAAGUAAUGGACAGGGAUUAUGGUGCCAUUCGUGAGAACAGCUAUUGUACCCACUGGUAAAGCUAUAGAAGCAGCAGUGCAGCUUAUUUUGAAAUGUUUGGUGUCUGUGGUUGGAGCUGUUGGUGGGCUUGGUCCCAGUAUCAGGCAGUGACAGACAAGCAGUCUUAGUAAUUAGUCCAGGGCUUUGGAUUAGGAUGAUUACAUGUAGUACUUCUGGUUCCUCUGCCUUCUCCCCUUCCUUAGCUGAAAAUGCCCACCUAGGGGAGCUUCCCUCCUACCCUGACACAGGUCACCGAUAGAAGAUGGAGGUGAGGUCCAGAGUCUGCUCAUCUGAUUUGUCAUCAGAUCUAAACACUUGGAAUGUGAGGAAAGCAUAGACGAAUGAGGCUGCUUUACUGAGUUCUGUCCUGCGGUUGUGAACUUUUUUACGAAUACAGCUAUUGGUCACAAACUUUGAGAUGGCUGAAAUAUUAAACAUAGGGUUUUUGGGUUGAAUAGCAGCCUUUGUUUUCAGAAAGGAUUACAAGAAACUUGAAUCACCCUCAUAGCCUUCAGCACUAAGAUUGAUAUCCAAAAUUUUCUCUUAAGACCAGCGUCUCCUCUGUUAACUACAGCUCCUGUUUACAUAGAUGUUUCCUAUUAAGCCAUAACUGUUACUUUCAUUUGCCACUUCCCAACUGUUAUUUGCUAAAUGAAACUCAUCUCUCUUCUCUUCGUACUUCUUAGCCAAUUCUUUUCUCUCCCCCAUAAUAUUUUAUCUCUUCAUCUUUCCAAGAAAGCAUUCUACAUUUUAAAGUUAUUGAAGAACCCCUGCACUCAUAUACCUUGUCUGUGGAAAAUAAGAAUAGGUCAAGAGUCAUUAUCUCCUCUUUGAUUAAAUGUAUUUGAAUAUGACGCUUCUGUGAAAAUUGAAACUAUUGCUUCUCCAGACCAUAUAUUUGGGAAUUUCCCUUAAAAAUGUCUAGCAUAUAGAGCUGGUGUUAAUAACAGUGAUCACUUCUUGUCACUUAGAGUACUGCAGUCAUGUGCCUUCCAUGCUUACAGAAAGCAUGUGUCUCAGAUUUGAAGUAUCACCUUUUUCAGUUAUGCUUGUUGCAGAACAACAUUUCUUAGGGAAGUUUUAGUGGGAGUUUUGAAAUGGUCAGAGGAAACAGGACUACAAUCUUUAAAUCUUAAGGUAUAACCAGAAUAAGAUGGGGGGAAAAGGUACAAUGCAACCUUUUAAGUAUUCAUGCUUUUCUGAUUCUUUGCAGUGCAGUGGAAGUUGCUGAUCUCAAUGUGCAUUUGAAUAUGUGAGCAAUUAUCUGACAGUCAAGUAGACUAAAAGCAUCUGUUAUUUGCUGUUUGUACAUAUGUUUGUGGUAUAUACAGUACUUUUUAAGGUGGAGAAGGGGUAAUGCAUUAAGUCUUCAGCUUUGACAAGUUAAUAACAAAUCUGUAUUUUGUAAAUGUGAAGCCACUAAUAGUUGAAGACCUUUAUGCUGUUGCAUUCCAGUUUGCUUUCACAAAUGCGUGGGGUGGGCCUUCUUUCUGUUCUUCAGACUUGGAAACAAAGCCCCUAUUUAUUGCAGCUAAAUGAAGUAGGCUGCAAUAGUUGUAUCCGUGGCAUUUAUCGGGAGCUAAGGCUUAAAUGAGAGCUGGGAGGAGGACAAAGCCUGCUAUCAUUCCAGAGCAGCACAGCGUUCCUGGUUUUGUUGCAAGCCAGGCUGUUUUAUUGUGUCCAUGAAGGUCUGUGGUGUGUAAUUACCUGUGCUAAAACUGAUGCUGAUGAAGACCUUUGGCACCAAUAGUAUCUGAGACUAGAAGAUAGGUUCAUAUGUUUGUAGGGAACCUGCAUAUAGAAUGCUCCUUUAGCUAUGAGAGAACAUCUUGAUAAGAUCUGAAAAAUCCAAUUUUCAGUCACACUUGAGCUACUUUAAAAAAUUGAGUUAUGUCAACAUUGGGAACACUUGGUAUCCAGUUCUUUAAGGAUGGGAUGGUGAAUUUUUUGCUACUGUACACUUUAUCUAGCUUCUUUAGCUACCAGCAUAGAAGGAAUAUAUUUUCUCUGGUUAUAUUUCUUCAGCUGAGAAAUAGCAUGCUGUCUGAGUUGUGGAGAAUUGUUCUUGGUUACAAAUGUAGAAAGUAGAGGCAGCUGUCAUAUCCAAUUUAUUAAGAAAACAUUUUUUUCCUUCCCACGUCUUGAAGUUUUCUAUAAGCAUUGCAAUAAAUUAUCUGAAAUCUCUUAUAUAAAUUAUUCAUGAAUCCACUUUCAUUACAUUAAAUUUCAUAGUGUAGAAGGCUUGAGCUGAAAUGGGUGAGAUGAGUGAAUUUUGGGAGGAAGUGAGAAUGAUGAUUUGUUUUAAGGAAGAGAGAAACUUGUGCCAUCUGCCUUUUGCACAAGUUGCCAUGAGUGCUCUUUGUAGCUAGGAGUAUGAAUGUAACACUGAUUGUGAUCUGAAGCUGUGACGGUGAAGUCUGUUAGGCAGAUUUGUACAGACCUUUGACAGAAAAAGCUCAUUGUAAUGUGCAAUACCAAGCAUGUGAGUUCACCUUUUCCAGCAUACUUGACAGCAGUGAAAGGAGUAACCUAACUUUGAUCUUCUUUGUUGAUCGUAGGCUUGAACGAUGACUGUAUCUGUUAGAGAACCACUUGGAGCUAUUUCUUGCAUUCUCUGUGGCACGUUUGCUUGAGUGUUUACUCAUUGAAGUCAUAAAGGCUGGGUUAGCACUGUGGGACUUCUGAGUACCUUGGAUAUAGCUGGAUAAAGUGAAGGAUGGGACUGAGGCAGUGCCAACUGAGAAGAUCUGAAUCCCCUGGGGAAUCUAUUCCUCUUCAUAAAAGUGUUCUGCUUCUUAGGGUGUAGAUAGCUGUGGAGAUGAAGUGUACUUCAGACCCUUCAGCUGGGUUCAGGUUAUGCAGCAUCGCAUUUCUAAAACUGGUAUCACCCUGCUCUUCUGUGUGAGUUAUUAAUCUGAUAUGUCUCCUUCACUUCAGAAGGAAGUAGUUAUUUGAGCAGAAUUCAGUAUACACUGUUGAGUUUCUUCUGUGAUUGUUUUAAAAUAAGUUGUCAUAUGCAAUUUAACACUUGCAGUGGUUGGUUUCCUGUUGAUGUGUUUCCUGAUAGUUAUUUCUUUCUCUCCUAAGACUUAGUUGAGAGGGGAUAGGUUUAAAACAAAAAAUCUAGUUGGGAGCUAAUACGCUGUGGGGAGACUUGUUCUUUCUUAACCAUCCCUAUCUCUUCUCUAAGUUGUUUAGAAAUAAUUAACAGUUUUUUUUUUCCUGUGUAUCAGUGUUUUUUUUCUAUGUAUUGUUUUAUUUAAUUUCUAUUACAUAUUUUUGUCUUCUCCUGGCUCUUCCCAAUGAACAUAGCAAAAGAUAGAAGAGAAGAAGGUAAAUAUGUUUUCUGCUGAAGAAAAGCUUGCUGUUUCACAGGUUUGAAAGUUUUCUUAUCCAUUUUGUACAUUUUGGCCAGUUUCACUAAGAGAAAAACAGCCAUCUCUCAAAUGUCAUCCAUUGCUGUGGGUAAACCAUCUUUCACUGGCUUGCUGACCUAGGCUGAGUGGUAUGGGCAUUGUAACCGUGAUGAAUGUUCUUGUUAGGAGGUACUAAACACAGGUUAUAUGAGAAGCAAAGCAAAUGAUUUUUCAGUAACUCUAUAUAAAGCCAUCGAGACGGCAGACUUCAGAGGCUCUGAGUACUGUUCUGAGAAUGUCUGUGCUGGAGCAGAUGAGAGGAGAAGAUGGGAAGGAAGGACUUCAGGCAUCCAUUUUGAGUGCAGAUACAAUUGACUCAGCAGUCAUCAGAGUUAUACAGCGGUUUCCACAUUAAUGGUUUUAACGAAAUUUUUAAAUACCAUUUGGUGAUUUGUUAAUUGAGACAUUGAUUGAGCUGUUAUCUUGGCUGAGUUAACUUUAUAUGCGUAAGGGAAAAUGGCUAUGAAGCAAGCUAAGAACCCUGUGUUUUAAAGGCUUUGAGUCAUAGCCAAGUCAGCAUGAGAAGAAUGGUGCAAACAUGGAAACGUUGUUACGAUGCACUGUAGAGAGAGAUUAUCUGCUCUAGAGAGAAGUGAGCAAGGUAACGUUGGAUGGAUUUCCAGAACUGCAGAAGGGUAGGAGGAGAAGCUGCAAGAGGGACAGAGUUAGCAUUUACUGAGGGCGUUUGAAACCUACCAGUCUUGAAUGUUAUUUGAGCCUGUAGAAGCAAUAGCAGGUCUUGUCUUGCAUUGAUUCUGCAGACCUUUCCCAUGGGAGUGUGAAAGAUUUGAGUUAGCUUUAUUGCUGUUGGGAGUUCCUGGUUGCUUGAAGUUAUGCUGUAGAGGAAGAUUGUAGUUAAUGCACCUGCUUCAGGGAACUUGACUUUGAAGACUUUAUUCUUUGAAUCUUGUGAAGUUUAUUCCAAGUGUGCUCCUGAAGAGCAAGAUGAUGCUUCUGAAAGGAAUUUCACUGCGUGGACUCUGGUCACUGGCAGAGAAACUGGCUAAGCAUUUUUAAGAACUGUCUAGAUGGACUAUUCUGUACACUGCUGAUAUUGUUAAAGUACCAAUUACAGCUUAGCCUUCUGAUUUAGGCCAUUUUGGAAAUGAUAGUUUAAAUAUUGAUUAAAUGAUGUAAAAUUCUGCACUUAGUUAAUUGCGGUUGACAUACUCAGUAGGAUCACAGGAUACUGCUUUUACAACUGGUAUAGUGCAUCAGAAUUUGAGUGGCUGAAAACUUCAUGCCAUUGUUAUUCCAGGUGGUUAGUUUUUUUUAUCUGAGGUUAGAAUCAGUUUGUUUGAGGUUUAUUAGCUCAGCUGAUGCUGAUUCAUAGGCAGGAUGCUCUACUUGAUUUGUCUCACCUGUAUUGUAGUAGAGCCAGACAGUUGUGUAAUAACUUAGAUUGCUAUAAUUGCUAUGCAUCAUACUGCAAUGUGUCAGGGCAUGCAAAUACAGAUGGACUUUUAUUCUGUUGGAAAUUAUUUUAAUCGAGUAGUGUCCUAAUUAAGUUUUCUCAAUUAAAUGUCCAAUAAGCAUUACUUUCUUCAUUUCAGAGAGCCAGUUCUGGGUAAGAGGUCCCAGAAUUAAUUAUUCCUAUUUUUUUUAUACAUAAGCAUACAUGCUUUUAGCAAAACCUUAGGUCAAUAGAAGAAAAGAAUUAUGUAGUGUUGAUUGUCACCAGUACCCUUUCUUUUAACAAAGGUAAUCCACUAGAGGUUAACAUGCUUUGUGGGCAGCUUCAUUAAUGUCAGUACCCAGUACACUUUGAAGUGCUUGUUAAUAACCCUGCGUUCACUGGAUAGCAGCUUGCCAAGUUGAUCCUAAAUGUCUGUGUCCACAUAAAUGAGGGGUGUAAUGGCUUGACUGUUUUUCCUGGUAUGCACUUCCCAGCUCUGUUGUUAUUCUUAGAGUCAUGGUGGAAGAGUUGAAAUGACAGCAGGAAAUCUACCUAAAGCAUCUCUCAAAGCUUUAUGAUUUCUUAAAAGUUUCCAGGUAGCCCCAAACCUUUCCCAGAUAAUUUUUUAUUAUUAUUAUUUUUAUUGUAUUCUAACACUGCUGACUGGCCAUGAGAUUGCAUGUGAUUGUCCUAGAAAGUCUUGGAUCCACGUACAGUCAAAUCUGGUACACAGACAGAAGGGUAUUGUCCAAGUCUGUACCAUACUUAUGUUCUGUAUUACAAAUAUCAUUGCAUCCUGUAUGAAACUGCAUGAUCUUAUGGAGUGCUAGACUUACUAUUAAGAUAGAUAUGUCUCAAUCUCCAAAAUGAUGUCAUUUAGUAUGGAAAUAAUUACUUGGUAUAUCACUUAUUUGUAGCUUUUUAGCAUUACUUUGCAUUUGUUUCUGUAAAUAGAUCUCUAAAGAUCAUGACAGAGCUCUGUUUUCUGCUUUGCAGACAGAAGUUAUGUAGUGUAUGGGAA
rnacentral:lncRNA from 1 species